UUUAGCUAGGUGCAUCUGUCUGCUAACUGCACACAGUGGUUGGGCCGUGCACUGUGCAUUCUGGGCCACUAUACUAGGUGUGUCUGUCUGCUAACUGCACAUGGUGACUGAGCUGUGCACUGCAUUCUGGAGCACUAUGAUAGGUGCAUCUGUCUGCUAACUGCACACGGUGGUUGUGCCGUGCACUGUGCAUUCUGGGCCACUAUACUAGGUGUGUCUGUCUGCUAACUGCACAUGCACAUGCGCAUGCACAUGGUGACUGAGCUGUGCACUGCAUUUUGGAGCACUAAUUUAGGUGCAUCUGUUUGCAAAAUGGCUAUGCUAAGUUUUUUGGAGUACUAACCUAGGUAUCUCUGAUGAUAUUUGCACUUGGAAAUCUUUCACAUACUAAUACUAGGUGCGUUCACUGCCAGUAUCCUUGGGACAUUGUGGUGUUGUCAUAUUCCUUACUAACAGCACUGAGAUAUUGCUCAUGUCCUACCUGCCAAUGGCAGGUGCAUUAUAAGCCACCUACAAGUCUUGCUAGAUAAACUUACCUACUGGGUUUUGUGGCGUGUUAGACUAGACACCGCUCUUAACCUAAUGAGUUAAUCAUGUGGUAUGCCAGAUUAGGCCGUCUCUUGAUAUAUACUCAUCUUCAAGUAGGUGAAAUUAAGAAGGUACUUACUUAUUCUAAUGUCAGCAAGCGAAGAAUUAAGCGAGCAAACCUUGACAUUGUCGGAGGGACGCACCAGAAUUUUGGAUAUUAUAGGAAAAAUCCUUAUAGGAUAGUGUUGUUGUUUGAUUACAGAUAAAUAAUUAAGAACAUUAUAAAAGAAGUAUGACCCGGACAAGAUUACAAAAAAUUACUCUGCGCUGUAAGAAAUUAUUGGUCCUCCGAAGAUGAACCCACAGACUUAACCUGCAGCUGGCGAGAUUCUUGCCAGUGGGGAACGAGGCUAAGUAUUGAAAUGGUACAAAAUAAAGUUUCCUGUUCUCUGACUGUGAUGAUUUAGCUCUCAAAAAUUGUGUACUGUACCAGCUAUAAGAAGGUAUUGUCACUUCUAAGUGAUUCUGUCCAUUUUUUUGAAAUUAAAUACUGAAUCAUAAUAAAUGGCAUAAGAGGUUUAUUAAAUCUUUUAAACAUGCUGUUGACAAGUGAUGUUUUAAGAAAAUCUAGCAGAAGAACUUUAAACUCCGGCAGCCCAGCCCGUAAGCCUGGCACUUUAAACUUCAAAGGCUCAAAUACCAAUCAUAUUUUCUAACGUAUGAUUUGCUGUUGUAUUUGUUUCAUACAAUAAAGUAUUUAUUAAACAUAACAAUAUACAAAAACCCCUGGUCAAAAGCAAGGAAGAGGAAGCAGAGCAAGACUUUCCUCUCUGCAGUCACAAUGUGGUCGCCACAGUGGUCGCACACAGCGACAUCACAACAGCCUGUGUUCAUUUAGAACAAAUUCUUAAAAGCUGUGGUUUACUUAAUUGUAUGUACCUAACCUACCUUUUUUCACAUAUAAGGAUUUUGUCCGGUCUAUCUCAUACAAAGUUCCUUUUUUAUCUGUGCCAACACCUACAAGUAUUCCGAAAUAUGAUCACUUCUGUGAAAUUGAUAGUCGAAUACUAGAAAAAUAUGUGACUGAGGUAUAUACUGUGUGUACAAAUAUAUGCCUAUGAUGACCUUAUAAAAUCAUGUUCACUUUAUAGGUACCUAUAGGCAAGAUCCAUAUAUUAAUAUAAGCACAUUUAGGUAGUGCAACUGAGCGGUUUUAAGUUAACAAGAUAUUAGAAUUGCCAGAAACUAAGAACACAAAAUUGUUAAAUGAGCACUAGCUCCAAGAUGUUUUACUUGAUUUCUUGAAUGUAGAAAACAUAUCUGUUUCAUGUGGAAAGAUGAGAUUUCAGUUUUAGUCUUAACAUACCUAGACUAUUAAACUAGAUAUCUCUCUAGCUAGAUAUAUGUGCCAGACCUUUUAUGAAGUGUUUAAGAUCACAUACACACACAGACUGUUUAGAUGAUAGAUAUAUCUAUUGUUGAUACUCCUUAUAACAAAUGUUAUACUAUGUAGGUACUUAUACAGGACACACUUAAUUUUAGUCUUGGUACCAUUACCUAUGUGGAGUUAUAAUCAAAUGGAACUAGCUUCUUAGUACCUCAGAAAGCUGGCUACUAUAUAGAUUUAUUUCUUUACCUACUAGGGAAAAAAUUCAAAGUUAAUCAAAAGAUAAAGCCCUUUAUAAAUUGGUACAUUGCUAAUAUAAAUUGGUUGUUUGUAUAGUUAUAGGAUAAGUUUGGCUAUCUGUAUGUUUACACAAACGCUUUAAGGGUUAAAGAGCUGAAAAGACAAAAAUACAUACUUAAGUAUACUAAAUUCAAUAUAUUUUAAGGAAACCUAGUGUGACAUUUUUUGGUGGCUCAUUAAAAUAAAGAUUUAUAAAUAUACUUUCUGCAGAUAUUUACUUACUUACAGUAAUAGUUUAUUGACACGCUGGGGCGGCAGAUUAGAAUGAGUUAGCUGUUGGAUUAUGGAAGGAGUCAAAAAGAAUAUAUAUUACAUUAAAUUUGUUCAGCUUA